rnacentral:lncRNA from 13 species
ACCGAACCAAUUUGCCUAGAGGAUUUAUCAACAAGUGGCUUAACUAGGAAUUUGCGUUGACAACUCAGCACCUCCGUCCGGGCUCCGGCGGCGGAGGGCCGAGGUGACAGGCUGAAUAGAGCGGGGGUGGGGGGAUGGGGGGCGUCCUGGGAGCUGGGAAGCCCGAGGCUUCAAAGCCAACCCGAAGCCACCUCGGCCAAGCCCCUUGCGCGGCGUGGACUGAGUGGACCAGAGCACCCGGGGCGCCGUCGGGACUCGGGGCCCGGCAGGCGGGCGAGCACGGGCCGGCUGGACUGUCUUUCCCGACGAAGUAGGUGGCCAUGUAUAUUUUUGUUCAAGUGGUGUUUAUGUUAAUGAAAAAAGGAUGGAAUUACAAACAGCCAGCCGAUCGCGCCGCGGCCGCGGGAGACUCGCCGCGCUCUGGUCCCAGGCCCAAUCAAAGGGCGCGCGCUCUCGGCCGCUCGCUCUGGGACCUCCAGCAGAAACCUUCUCCCCCCUCCCCUAACUGGGUGAAAUUGUCCUGUCCUCUCCCACAACUUUCACCAAAUCGAGAACUCUCUGUUUGCAAUCAGCCCCCUCACCUCGCUCUCCUCACCAAUCCUCGGUAGCGCAAUCAGGAUUUAUGAAGAGGUGACCCGAAUUUAAAGACAGUGUUGGAUGCAAACCGAUUUGCCAGCAAUUGCGUCACCAUCAAGUGAAAUACGUACAGAUGGGAUUCGCGUCUGAAAAACCAAGGCAAGAGGCCGUGGAAGGGACGGAGGUGGAACAGGACUGGACCAGAACAGGACAAGUGGUAGUUGCUGAGUACUGGGCAAAUGGAGCAGGAGUCAAGACCUCUGCAGCAGGUUGUGGAGUUUUACAGAACACGCCAAGUAGAGGAAUCCAUGCCUGCACCUGUAACGGGGAUCCUUCAGAAGGGAAGGCUGAGAAGAGCAAGGACGGACAAGCCAGUGUUCUUGUGGUGGCUGAACACACACUUCAGCUCCUCUCACCUUAUGGCCAAGCUGCUUCAUUGUCUGAAACACAAACACAGCAUCUGUCAGAGCCAAGGGGGCACCUGGGAGCCGGGUUUCCAGAACCCCUAGCCUGGGUGUUUCAUACUGACCACACCCCAAGGAACCUGUAUAGAGCUGCCCGCUUACACACAUGGACCAUGACCACUGUUCUUCAGGAAUACGGACUCUUGCACACCUGGCAUGGUUUUGUGAGUGGAGGCAUCUCUGCACAGAAAUCUUACUGUUAUGCCUGUCCGACCCUGGUCUCCUCUCUCCAGUCUCCUGUGCCCACAUUCCAGGCUGUUCUAGGCACUCCUUUCUGGGAUGCCUGGGAGCAUCUUGAGACCUCACUGGAUGCAGGCCUGCUGAGAUGCUCUGGCCGUGUGGGUGGUCUGCUUGGCCUCGGGAUGGGCCCUCCCCACAGACUGAGCAGGCAUUGCAGGCAUGGUGAGGUCUGCUGGUGGCUGCCACCAGUCAUGCUUUUAGUAUUUUUUUUUUUCAACAAUACAUUUUAAAAAUGUUUGCAUAACUCUAGGUUCACAAAAAAAAUUGAGCAGAAAGUAUAGAGGUUCCACAUGCUCCUUUCCCAAUCGCCCCGUCUUCUAGUUUUCUCUAUUAUUUAUAUCUUGUGGCACUUUUGUUACAAGUGAUGAGCCAAUAUUAAUAGGUUAUUAUCCACUGAAGCCCACAGCUUACCUCAGGGUUGGCUCUUGGGUCUGCACAUUCAGUGGGUCUGGACAAACAUGAACACAUGUAUCCCAGCCAGCCAUGGUGGCUCACACCUAUAGUCUCAGCACUUUGGGAGGCUGAGGCAGGCAGAUCACCUGAGGUCAGGAGUUUGAGACCAGCCUGCCCAACAUGGUGAAACCCCCGUCUCUACUAGAAAUACCAAAAAAUGAGCCAGGCAUGGUGGUGCAUGACUGCCAUCCCAGUUACCCUGGAGGCUGAGGCAUCGGGAGGUGGAGAUUGCAGUGAGCUGAGAUGGCGCUAUUACACUCCAGUCUGGGUGACAGAGUAAGACUCUGUCUCCAGAAAAGAAAAAAAGACAUGUGUCCCCAUCAGAGUAUCAUACAGAGUAGUUUCGCCACCCUGAAAACACUCUGUGGUCUUCCUAUUCACCCCUCCCCUCAGCCCCAGAGACCACUGAUCUUUUGACCAUCUCCGUGGUUUUGCCUUUUCCGGAAUAUCAUGUGGUCGGAAUCAUGCACCAUGUAGCCUCUGCAGAUGGGCUUCUUUCACUGAGCAACACGUGCUGAUGGUUCCUCCGUGUCUUUUCAAGGCUUGAUGCCAAACUGCCUUCCAAAGUGGCUGCAGCGUUUUGCAUUCCCACCAUCAGUGAAUGAGAGUUCCAGUUGCUCCCCAUCCUCACCAGCAUUUGGUGUCAUCAUUGUUUUGGAUUUUAGCCAUUUCAUAGGUGUGCAGAUGUAUCUCCUUAUUUUAAUCUAAUAAACAUCUUAUUGAAGAAGAAUGCA